rnacentral:rRNA from 1 species
GUCUCGUAGUGACCUGCGGAGGGAUGCAUU